AAAGUAGCAAAUACUUUGGUGGCGACCGGCGCACGGGUGAGUAACGCGUAUGCAACCCAUCUAUCAGAGGGGAAUAACCCGGCGAAAGUCGGACUAAUACCGCAUAAAACAGGGGCACCGCAUGGUGAUAUUUGUUAAAGAAAUUCGCUGAUAGAUGGGCAUGCGUUCCAUUAGGUAGUUGGUGAGGUAACGGCUCACCAAGCCGACGAUGGAUAGGGGAACUGAGAGGUUGGUCCCCCACACUGGUACUGAGACACGGACCAGACUCCUACGGGAGGCAGCAGUGAGGAAUAUUGGUCAAUGGGCGAGAGCCUGAACCAGCCAAGUCGCGUGAAGGAAGAAGGAUCUAUGGUUCGUAAACUUCUUUUGCAGGGGAAUAAAGUGCAGGACGUGUCCUGUUUUGUAUGUACCCUGAGAAUAAGGAUCGGCUAACUCCGUGCCAGCAGCCGCGGUAAUACGGAGGAUCCGAGCGUUAUCCGGAUUUAUUGGGUUUAAAGGGUGCGUAGGUGGUUUGAUAAGUCAGCGGUGAAAGUUUGCAGCUUAACUGUAAAAAUGCCGUUGAAACUGUCGGACUUGAGUGUAAAUGAGGUAGGCGGAAUGCGUGGUGUAGCGGUGAAAUGCUUAGAUAUCACGAAGAACUCCGAUUG
rnacentral:rRNA from 2 species